rnacentral:rRNA from 1 species
GUGAGGAAUAUUGGUCAAUGGGCGGGAGCCUGAACCAGCCAAGUCGCGUGAGGGAAGACGGCCCUACGGGUUGUAAACCUCUUUUGUCGGGGAGCAAAGAGCGCCACGCGUGGCGAGAUGAGAGUACCCGAAGAAAAAGCAUCGGCUAACUCCGUGCCAGCAGCCGCGGUAAUACGGAGGAUGCGAGCGUUAUCCGGAUUUAUUGGGUUUAAAGGGUGCGUAGGCGGGACAGUAAGUCAGCGGUAAAAUAGCGGGGCUCAACCCCGUCGAGCCGUUGAAACUGCAGUUCUUGAGUGGGCGAGAAGUAUGCGGAAUGCGUGGUGUAGCGGUGAAAUGCAUAGAUAUCACGCAGAACUCCGAUUGCGAAGGCAGCAUACCGGCGCCCGACUGACGCUGAAGCACGAAAGCGUGGGUAUCGAACAGG